rfam:Camelus ferus unplaced genomic scaffold scaffold1888, whole genome shotgun sequence.
GAGAGUAUAGCUCAGUGGUAGAGCACAUGCUUAGCAUACACAAGGUCCUGGGUUCAAUCCCCAGUACCUCCU